UACUGAGGUUUUCCUCGGCAGUUAACUGUAGCCGGUUUUUCAAUUUCUCGGCAGUUAACUGCCGAGGGGGCA
rnacentral:pre_miRNA from 1 species